GUCGAGAAUCUUUCACAAUGGGGGCAACCCUGAUGGAGCGACGCCGCGUGGAGGAUAAGGUCUUCGGAUUGUAAACUCCUGUCAUGUGUGAACAAGGUUGCUUGGUUAAUACCUGGGCAAAUUGAUGGUAACGCAAGAGGAAGAGACGGCUAACUCUGUGCCAGCAGCCGCGGUAAUACAGAGGUCUCAAGCGUUGUUCGGAAUCACUGGGCGUAAAGGGUGCGUAGGUGGCGUGGUAAGUCAGAUGUGAAAGCCCGGGGCUCACCCUCGGAACUGCAUCCGAUACUGCCAUGCUAGAGUACUGGAGAGGUGACUAGAAUUCUCGGUGUAGCAGUGAAAUGCGUAGAUAUCGAGAGGAAUACCAAAGGCGUAGGCAGGUCACUGGACAGUUACUGACACUGAGGCACGAAGGCCAGGGGAGCGAACGGGAUUAGAUACCCCUGUAGUCC
rnacentral:rRNA from 1 species